CUUACAUUAACUAGGAAAUUGCAAGAGAGAAAAGAAGCGUGUGUUAAUUUCUACCACUCACCACUGAAUUCAGGUUUCCUUGUGGUGCAUCCUUCUCGUGGCUUCAGCAGAUUUUCAUCUCAGUGGCCUGUCUGUGACUUUAGCUGCUCUGCUACGAUACCACUUCACACCUUGUGAUCAUGGACGUCAGAUAUUCUGAGGACUAUUAUAACUCAAGUAACUACAGAUAUAUUGGGGGACCGUAUUCAACCAUUCGUCCUCCUGUUUAUUAUGAUGGCCUGAUGAUCAGCAUCUCCCUUGUCGCUGGUGUGUGUGUAAGCCUGCCAGCUUUGAUUUGGGCUCUUCAUGUUCUUUACACUCUCCACAAACAAGGAGGCCAAAUUUCAACCUUCAUCAUCCUCCUCAUCAUCAAUGACUUGGGUGAGCUGCUCCUGAGUGCAAUUAUA